rnacentral:rRNA from 1 species
CCUACGGGCGGCAGCAGUCGAGAAUCAUUCACAAUGGGGGAAACCCUGAUGGUGCGACGCCGCGUGGGGGAAUGAAGGUCUUCGGAUUGUAAACCCCUGUCAUGUGGGAGCAAAUUAAAAAGAUAGUACCACAAGAGGAAGAGACGGCUAACUCUGUGCCAGCAGCCGCGGUAAUACAGAGGUCUCAAGCGUUGUUCGGAAUCACGGGGCGUAAGGCGUGCGUAGGCUGUUUCGUAAGUCGUGUGUGAAAGGCGCGGGCUCAACCCGCGGACGGCACAUGAUACUGCGAGACUAGAGUAAUGGAGGGGGAACCGGAAUUCUCGGUGUAGCAGUGAAAUGCGUAGAUAUCGAGAGGAACACUCGUGGCGAAGGCGGGUUCCUGGACAUUAACUGACGCUGAGGCACGAAGGCCAGGGGAGCGAAAGGGAUUAGAUACCCCAGUAGUC